rnacentral:lncRNA from 1 species
UGUUUGAAAUUUUCACGCUUCAAACAAGUCGCUCUGUUUCUGCUGCUAUUUUUUCAUUUAUAAUCAGUUAAUUUGCCAAUAAACGCAGAAAAUUUGGUGAAAAUGUGAAAAAAGCUUGCUGCUCUUCCCGCUGGCCCUGCGGAAGGCUAAUUUGGCUGAGAUUUUACAAGUUAGCCAUCUCCUAGUGGACUGAAUCAACUGGAACCGGCCCUCAAUGUUCUCCGCCGUGAAAUCAUUUUGUUUCUUCGAAACAGGUUCAUCAAUCAACUCGGGAGUGCGAGAGCUCGAGCCUCGUUGCCGAGCCAUGGAUGGCGCCGCGAAAGUUCUCAAUUCUUGAAUGUUCCGCCCUGAAGGAUGCCCAACACAGGAAAAGAAAAUAAUUUGGAAAUAAAUAAUGCUGUGUGGAAACGC